UGCAAAGCACGAUUACCAGUUUGCAUAUAGUCACUGUAACGACAGGAUAGACAACACCACCAAAAAAAUGCUAUUAAUUUCAUUGAUUAUCUGCCUAAUGAUGGUGAUAAUCGACGCUGGUCCUGAACCUGAUCCCGAGCCGAUACAGGUGCUCAGGGAGAGAUCCCAAGAAAUACCAUGCGAGGGGGACUGCCACCUCUAUGAAAGAAACUCAAUACGAAUUGAUGACGGGGACGAGCGCGUGAUUAGACUGUGAUUGCAAAGGACCCAAGAACUGACGUGAGCUACUGAAACAAGGUUGCUGUAAUUCAAGAGGAUUUUUUUUUUUUUUUUUUACAUACAUCAAAUUUUAGUAUUGCAAUCAUAAUUAGGGUCUGAUGAUAUUUAGGAUUAUUGUGUUGUCUAUUUUCUUCCUUCUAUUAUUAUCACGAACAGUUAUUAGAACUUACUAAAGAUAAUACACGUUUGCAUUUGCA